CCUGUACGACCAGUGGCGUGCUUGGAUGCAAAAGUCACACAAAACUCGAAACCAGGACGAGGGGAUCCUGCCCUCGGGCAGACGGGGCGCGGCGAGAGGUCCUGCCGGAUAAACUCUAAGGACAGGCCAUGCUCCCGCCACAUGCAGACGGGGGGGGGGGGGCUCGCCUCACCGAGAGUCUCUGUAUACUGUCACUUUGGGGGAACCGGAGAAACACCACCAGGGGCUGGGGUAGGCGCAGUUAACUCCCACAGCCACAGAUUUGGUCUGCAUGAUGGUCAACCUUGGCUGUACCCAUGUGGUCCUCCAAGAGUCUCUUUAAAUAAAUGACUUGUUCAGGUCCUCUGA